CCUACGGGAGGCAGCAGUGGGGAAUAUUGCACAAUGGAGGAAACUCUGAUGCAGCGACGCCGCGUGAAGGAUGAAGUAUUUCGGUAUGUAAACUUCUAUCAGCAGGGAAGAAAAUGACGGUACCUGACUAAGAAGCCCCGGCUAACUACGUGCCAGCAGCCGCGGUAAUACGUAGGGGGCAAGCGUUAUCCGGAUUUACUGGGUGUAAAGGGAGCGUAGACGGCACGGCAAGCCAGAUGUGAAAGCCCGGGGCUCAACCCCGGGACUGCAUUUGGAACUGCUGAGCUAGAGUGUCGGAGAGGCAAGUGGAAUUCCUAGUGUAGCGGUGAAAUGCGUAGAUAUUAGGAGGAACACCAGUGGCGAAGGCGGCUUGCUGGACGAUGACUGACGUUGAGGCUCGAAAGCGUGGGGAGCAAACAGGAUUAGAUACCCCAGUAGU
rnacentral:rRNA from 1 species